rnacentral:rRNA from 1 species
GUGACCUGCGGAAGGAUCAUUACUAGAGCAAAGGAUAGACAGCGCCCGCGGAGCUCGCUCCCGGGGCCACCCUACUCCGGUAGGGUUUAGAGUCGUCGGGCCUCUCGGAGAAGCUCGGUCCUGAACUCCACCCUUGAAUAAACUACCUUUGUUGCUUUGGCGGGCCGCCUCGUGCCAGCGGCUUCGGCUGUUGAGUGCCCGCCAGAGGACCACAACUCUUGUUUUUUAGUGAUGUCUGAGUACUAUAUAAUAGUUAAAACUUUCAACAACGGAUCUCUUGGUUCUGGCAUCGAUGAAGAACGCAGCGAAAUGCGAUAAGUAAUGUGAAUUGCAGAAUUCAGUGAAUCAUCGAAUCUUUGAACGCACAUUGCGCCCUCUGGUAUUCCGGGGGGCAUGCCUGUUCGAGCGUCAUUAUAACCACUCAAGCUCUCGCUUGGUAUUGGGGUUCGCGGUUUCGCGGCCCCUAAAAUCAGUGGCGGUGCCUGUCGGCUCUACGCGUAGUAAUACUCCUCGCGAUUGAGUCCGGCAGGUCUACUUGCCAGCAACCCCUAAUUUUUUUUAAGGUUGACCUCGGAUCAGGUAGGGAUACCCGCUGAACUUAAGCAUAUCAAUAAGCGGAGGAAAGAAACCAACAGGGAUUACCUCAGUAACGGCGAGUGAAGCGGUAACAGCUCAAAUUUGAAAGCUGGCUCUUUUAGGGUCCGCGUUGUAAUUUGUAGAAGAUGCUUCGGGUGUGGCCCCGGUCUAAGUU